GGCUGUAGAUUACCAUUCAAAACUUAUCUUUUUUUUUCCCAACUGAGUUUUCAUUGAUAACUUUGUUAAACACACAAAGAGGAAUACAAAUGCCGGCGGAAAACAUGAAUAUCCCCGGAAACCAAGCCCACACAAGGGAAUCAAAAGUCCAAGAGACAGACCACUAAUAAACGAAGCUUUAAGCUACAAACUAAAUUCUUUCAACUAAAACUUAACCUAUGAAGAGAAAAUAGAAACCAUACUUAAUUGUCUUACGAGUAGUCGGAUGUCUCGCCACACAGGGAGCAAGAGAGCAUGAAAAGUAGAAGUUCUUCAUGAAAAGCAAGAACCAUCAUCUGAACCACCCGUUCACGAUGACCACACACACCACACACCACCACUCAGACGAAGCCAAGACAUACAACAAGAAGAAACAAACACCCGGGAGAGCUGUCAUCUCAACCACGCCUUCAUCUGAACACUACAAAACCUCAACCUCUUUUUAUUGCUUCAACACCUAGAAGCCACCGAGGAAAUCCAGAGACCAAGAGAGACCAGAAGUAACUUAUUCGAAGGGCAGGAGAAGGACGUCUUAGAACCUGAGAGACCAGGGGUGACUUGAAACCAACUCUUCUUCACGACACUAACCUUCAGUAGCUCUCCACAUACCACUACUACUCUGCUUCACCGUUGCUGGAACAAAGACAAAUUAAGCCAUUCUCUACACUCCAUGACAGAUUAGUCUAAGAUGAACUCAGAAGAUUAGCAAAGACACUGCAAACUACACAAGACCUUGAUCACGACCAACUAUGAAGGCGAGAGAGAUUCUGAAACCCAUUAUAGGAUAGAUACAGCUCAAACCAGAAAGAGCAAAGGGAACAAACUUUUUAAGCACAAGGCCAGCGAGAAGACAAGUAGAUCUAGGAGUUCAAAGAAGAAGCAAACUCUGAUGCUGGCGAGAAACAACCAGCACACGUCAUCAACAUCUAGAAAAGACCUGACUUUAGCGACCUGACUCUGAAAAUAAACUUCACGCGCCACCACGCUCCUCCACGCCGGAGUCUUCACAUCCAUCAAAUCAGUCGAAUCCUCCUCACGCCUUCAGAGAACAACACGAACAAACAACAAUAGAGCAAUGAAACGCGACUCCGGUGUUAUGAGAGCCACCGGAUUCGACCACCGUCAAAACCUAGAUCUACUUCCUCUCACCGGACGAGUCACCUUCACCAUUCAAAACUUAUCUUAAACUUU
rnacentral:lncRNA from 1 species